rnacentral:lncRNA from 1 species
CCUGCCUAGAGUCUCCCAGUGAGAGGGGCUGGGGUGUGAGACUCAGUGUUAAAGCACCUUCCUGUAGUCCCCCCGUGAGGGGCUGGAGUAGGCUCAGCUGUAGAGUACUUACCUAGAAUUCACUAGGCCAGGUCCAUCCUCAGUACUACAGAACUUGGCUUUGGGGAGAAGGGUAUGGCUGGACAAGAGUUAGGUGCACUGAUUGACAGGGAGGUCUUGGGAGCCUACAAAAAUAACAUAGAGGAAAACCCCCAAAGCCCUAUGGAGGAGCCCUUGGAGCCCUGGGAUACCAAGGUGGGGGCUGCUUUGGGAAAUCUUGUGGCCGGAAGAGGAAGUGAUCUUCUGGAGACCCCUGACUCGCGNNNNNNNNNNNNNNNNNNNNNNNNNNNNNNNNNNNNNNNNNACCUCAUCAACGUUGGUGCUACUGCUUGGUGGAGAAUGUAAACCUUCUAUGACCACCCCCUACUCCAUCCCCUUGACCCCCACCUGGGAGGGGACAACAGGCCAGUGGCCUUGGAAACCCACAGGACAAGGAAAUCAGACAGCAGCGGCCACGUACCCCUAACCAGAAAUUUCCCCCUUUCUUAGAGCCCAGGGGGGGUGCCCCAUCUCUUCCCACCCGGGAGCUCCCCACACACACACAGUCUCCAUCUCCAAGAGAAAUUGGUGCUACAUGUUGGUGCUUCUUUUUCGAGGGGGGAGGGAGAAGAGAAGGGUAUCCCAUGGGGGACCCUCCCUUCCCUGAAACCCCUCUAUUAAGAUGGUGCACACCUUUGUUGGGCAGUCCCACCUCACCCUGCCCACCAGGAGCCAUGCCUGGCUGCAUCCAAUUGGUACCCAAAAGCCAAAAGCCUUGACGCUGGAUUUGGUGACACAAUCCCUCUCUCUUUGGAUCUUUUGGCCCAUAUCCCUCUACCAAUAGCUGUUUCCUACAUCUGGGACACCUUGGAGUCAGAAGACUCCCACACUGGGAAUAAUUCCCUUGUUCUUGUGGAAUCCACCUGCCCGCCAUCCACCCUUCCACCCUUUCAUGAGUCCAUCCUUCCGUCCAACCUGACUGCCUAGUGCCACUAGCUGGCUGGGCACACCCACUAUCAACCUGGUUCUCCUGUCAUGGCAGCCUGUACAGCCUGUCCCCUGUUCCCACCCCCACCACACACCCCAAAUGCUGGCCUGGGGUGCAAGGGGUUGUGCGGGCUGGGGCAAGACUAUCCUCCCCACAUGCAGUACUGUAUCCCCGUCCGUCCCUUCCUGGAGCCGCUCUACCAGAGAGAAUGUCCCACCACCCCACCCACCUCUUUGUGUUUCGCUGUGAUAGAUCAAUAAAUAUUUUAUUUUUUGUCCUGGAUAUUUGGGGAUGAUGUUUGAUUGUUGGUGUGCUCUUUGGGUUUUAUUUUUAUGGUUAAUUGGGGAAAAAUCUUUUCUUAUCUGAGGAGCUGUAUCCUCAGGAGAAAAUUCAUUUUAAUCGCUUUGAUAUAACUCUGGAUGAA